rnacentral:rRNA from 1 species
GGAAAAGAAACUAACAAGGAUUCCCCUAGUAACGGCGAGUGAACCGGGAAGAGCUCAAAUUUGAAAUCUGGCGUCCUCAGGGCGUCCGAGUUGUAAUCUAUAGAGGCGUUUUCCGUGCCGGACCGUGUCCAAGUUCCUUGGAACAGGAUAUCAAAGAGGGUGACAAUCCCGUACUUGACACGAUGACCGGUGCUCUGUGAUACGUCUUCUACGAGUCGAGUUGUUUGGGAAUGCAGCUCAAAAUGGGUGGUGAGUUCCAUCUAAAGCUAAAUAUUGGCGAGAGACCGAUAGCGAACAAGUACCGUGAGGGAAAGAUGAAAAGCACUUUGGAAAGAGAGUUAAACAGUACGUGAAAUUGUUGAAAGGGAAACGAUUGAAGUCAGUCGUGACUGAGAGGCUCAGCCGGUUCUGCCGGUGUAUUCCCCUCAGUCGGGUCAACAUCAGUUUUGUCCGGUGGAAAAGGGCGGUAGGAACGUGGCACCUCCGGGUGUGUUAUAGCCUGCCGUCGCAUACAUCGGGUGAGACUGAGGAAUGCAGCUCGCCUUUAUGGCCGGGGUUCGCCCACGUCCGAGCUUAGGAUGUUGACAUAAUGGCUUUAAACGACCCGUCUUGAAACACGGACCA